UACGGAGGGUGCGAGCGUUGUCCAGAAUCACUGGGCGUAAAGGGCGCGUAGGCGGCAUGCCAAGCGUGUGGUGAAAGCCCGGGGCUCAACCCCGGGUCGGCCGUGCGGACUGGCGUGCUCGAGCACUGUAGGGGCGGGUGGAAUUCCGGGUGUAGCGGUGGAGUGCGUAGAGAUCCGGAAGAACACCGGUGGCGAAGGCGGCCUGCUGGGCAGUUGCUGACGCUGAGGCGCGACAGCGUGGGGAGCAAACAGG
rnacentral:rRNA from 1 species